GGUGGCUCAAUGGUAGAGUGCUUGCCUUACAUGCCUGAGGUGCUGAGGUUCGAUUCCUCAGCACCA
rnacentral:tRNA from 1 species